CCUUCGAUAGCUCAGUUGGUAGAGCGGUGGACUGUAGAACGUGUGUAGGAGAGAGAGAGAGAGGAUCAAGUUUGACGAAUGAUGCGAUCAAUCUCUCGCGAAUAGAGAAAUCCAUAGGUCACUGGUUCAAAUCCGGUUCGAAGGA
rnacentral:tRNA from 1 species